GGGGAUUUAGCUCAGCGGUAUAAGCACCUGCCUUGCAAGCACGCGUCGUGAGUUCAAUCCCCG
rnacentral:tRNA from 1 species